rnacentral:rRNA from 1 species
GAUGAACGCUGGCGGCGUGCCUAAUACAUGCAAGUCGAGCGAACAGACGAGGAGCUUGCUCCUCUGACGUUAGCGGCGGACGGGUGAGUAACACGUGGAUAACCUACCUAUAAGACUGGGAUAACUUCGGGAAACCGGAGCUAGUACCGGAUAAUAUAUUGAACCGCAUGGUUCAAUAGUGAAAGACGGUUUUGCUGUCACUUAUAGAUGGAUCCGCGCCGCAUUAGCUAGUUGGUAAGGUAACGGCUUACCAAGGCAACGAUGCGUAGCCGAACUGAGAGGGUGGUCGCCCACACUGGAACGGAGACACGGUCCAGACUCCUGCGGGAGGCAGCAGUAGGGAAUCUGCCGCAAUGGGCGAAAGCCUGACGGAGCAACGCCGCGUGAGUGAUGAAGGUCUUCGGAUCGUAAAACUCUGUUAUUAGGGAAGAACAAAUGUGGAAGUAACUAUGCACGUCUUGACGGUACCUAAUCAGAAAGCCACGGCUAACUACGUG